UACAGAGGUCUCAAGCGUUGUUCGGAUUCAUUGGGCGUAAAGGGUGCGUAGACGGUCUAGUAAGUUAGCAGGUGGGAAAUUGAGGCUCAACCUCACGGAAGUUGCUAAUACUGCUAUACUCGAGUGCAGGAGAGGUUAACGGAACUCCAUGUGGAGCGGUAAAAUGUGACGAUAUGUGGAUGAACACCAAUAGCGGCGAAGGCAGUUAACUAUUCUGUUACUGACGUUGAGGCACGGAAAGCGUGGGGAGCAAAACGG
rnacentral:rRNA from 1 species